rnacentral:rRNA from 1 species
CCUACGGGGGGCUGCAGUGGGGAAUAUUGGACAAUGGGCGAAAGCCUGAUCCAGCCAUGCCGCGUGUGUGAAGAAGGCCUUCGGGUUGUAAAGCACUUUCAGUGGGGAAGAAAGCCUUGGGGCUAAUACCCUCGAGGAAGGACAUCACCCACAGAAGAAGCACCGGCUAACUCCGUGCCAGCAGCCGCGGUAAUACGGAGGGUGCGAGCGUUAAUCGGAAUUACUGGGCGUAAAGCGCGCGUAGGCGGUCUGAUAAGCCGGUUGUGAAAGCCCCGGGCUCAACCUGGGAACGGCAUCCGGAACUGUCAGGCUAGAGUGCAGGAGAGGAAGGUAGAAUUCCCGGUGUAGCGGUGAAAUGCGUAGAGAUCGGGAGGAAUACCAGUGGCGAAGGCGGCCUUCUGGACUGACACUGACGCUGAGGUGCGAAAGCGUGGGUAGCAAACAGGAUUAGAUCCCCCAGUAGUC